AUAAAUUUGAAAUAAUAAAAUCAGUGCCCUUUUCUCAGGUUUCUAUUCUAUUCUAGAUGUUUAGCCCUAGAAACAAGGUCUGCACCUAAUCAAUCAAAUGUACAGCACGUAAUAUAUAGUUAUUUUACAAUUUGUACAUUUUACGUGAUCUAAUACAUUGUUUCACUAACGAAACCAUCACACCACACCUCUCAUCCUCCC